GGGGAUGUAGCUCAGGGGUCAGAGCAGUCGGCUCAUAACCGAUUGGUCGCAGGUUCAAAUCCUGCCAUCCCCACCA
rnacentral:tRNA from 1 species